AUCAUGAUUAAUGCCUGCAAGAUUGCUUCAGCCAGCCGAGUCACUGCAGUCAUCCCGUGCUUCCCUUAUGCCCGGCAGGAUAAGAAGGAUAAGAGCCGAGCUCCAAUCUCAGCCAAACUUGUUGCAAAUAUGCUGUCUGUAGCAGGUGCAGACCACAUUAUCACCAUGGAUCUACAUGCUUCUCAGAUUCAGGGCUUUUUUGAUAUUCCAGUGGACAACUUGUAUGCAGAGCCAGCUGUCCUGAAGUGGAUUAGAGAGAAUAUCUCUGAAUGGAGGAAUUGUACAAUUGUCUCACCUGAUGCUGGUGGAGCCAAGAGAGUUACCUCCAUUGCAGAUCGGUUGAAUGUAGACUUUGCUUUGAUUCACAAAGAGCGGAAGAAGGCCAAUGAAGUGGACCGCAUGGUGCUGGUGGGAGAUGUGAAGGAUAGGGUGGCUAUCCUUGUAGAUGAUAUGGCUGACACUUGUGGCACGAUCUGCCACGCAGCUGACAAACUUCUCUCAGCUGGCGCAACCAGAGUCUAUGCAAUCUUGACUCAUGGAAUCUUUUCUGGCCCAGCCAUUUCUCGUAUCAACAAUGCAUGCUUUGAAGCAGUAGUAGUCACCAAUACCAUACCUCAGGAGGAUAAGAUGAAGCACUGCUCCAAGAUACAGGUGAUUGACAUCUCCAUGAUCCUCGCAGAAGCCAUCAGGAGAACCCACAAUGGGGAGUCUGUUUCCUACCUGUUCAGUCAUGUCCCUUUAUAACGGAGUAACUUCUAGAGUUUUUUAAACAUAAAGUGAACCCACCCCCUGUUUUCCGUUGAUAUUCUAUGACAAAUUUGGAAGACCCAGCUUGCUCUUAGCUCUCCACAUCCCACAUUAGGUACAUUAUUAGAGUUUAUCCUAAAUUGGGACAAGCCAGAUUGAGACUGCUGGGAUUUCCUAUCUGUAUUGCCUCAUUCUGCCUUGAUGGUUUUGCGAGCCUUGCAGCAUUAACUAGAGCUCAGUUCCUGCAGAAUUGCAAACUUUUUUUGAGAUUAUUGUUUAGCCAGGGAUGUAGCUCAGCAGCACAACACCUGCCCUGGCAAGUGUGAGGUCCUGAGUUUGAUUCCCGGUACAAAAAUAAACAAAAACAACUUGUUUUAAAGCUGUUUGAAUGUGAUUUUGGAAGCUCAGCCUCCUUGGCAGGUGGAUACUUUAGGGUUGCUCUUUGUUCAGAACAGCUGGCCACAGAGCCAGCCCAUGUGUGGCCAGUUCUCUAAGUUUAGUCCUGAAUUACCAAAAGCCUUGGGCAGUCCCAAAUUUAGUCCCAGUAGUGCAGGAGUCUGGCAGGAGUGGAGGGGCUCAGCUCGAGCAGCUGUUGGGUGGGGUCUUCAAGGUGGGGCAGGGGAUAGGCAGUUGGCAAAUGUCUCUUGGGAGGAAGAAGCCUGACCCAUUGUCAUCUGCUUGUCUGUGUAGCUUGGAUUCUCCUACCUGUUCCUUUCUACAUGGCUUUACCCACAGCCAAUAUCCCCUCACGCCCAAAUGGCUUGCUUCCUGCUUUAUCACUGUCAACAUUCACAUUAGAUAAUUUGCUGUGGCUUAAUCUUCCUUUACCUGCUACCAUCAUGGUAGUAGGUUUUAGGUGGUAUCAUAUAGUGCCUUUUGAUUAAUUUAAGUAUUUAAUUUUCAUCUUUCUUCCUUGGAUCCAUUUUGCCUCAUGACCUGAGAUUUCUGUUAAAAAGAUACAUGUUGUCUCUUGUAGAUGAAAACUAAUAAAGUAUGUGUGUG